rnacentral:rRNA from 1 species
AGUGAACGCUGGCGGCAGGCCUAACACAUGCAAGUCGAGCGGCAGCAGGGAGCUUGCUCCUGGAUUCAGCGGCGGACGGGUGGGUAGUGCCUAGGAAUCUGCCUGGUUGUGGUGGAGAACGUCAGGAAGCAGGCGCUAAUACCGCAUACGUCCUGAGGGCGUACGUGGGGGAUCUUGGGACCUCACGCUAUCAGAUGAGCCUAUGUCGGAUUAGCUAGUUGGUGGGGUAAAGGCCUACCAAGGCGACGAUCCGUAACUGGUCUGAGAGGAUGAUCAGUCACACUGGAACUGAGACACGGUCCAGACUCCUACGGGAGGCAGCAGUGGGGAAUAUUGGACAAAGGGCGAAAGCCUGAUCCAGCCAUGCCGCGUGUGUGAAGAAGGUCUUCGGAUUGUAAAGCACUUUAAGUUGGGAGGAAGGGCAGUAAGUUAAUACCUUGCUGUUUUGACGUUACCAACAGAAUAAGCACCGGCUAACUUCGUG